rnacentral:lncRNA from 1 species
ACUAACAUCUGUGUCCUCCAUAGAUGGAGCUCACAUCACGGAGCUCAUGAGAAGCUGAGUGCCAGCUACCACACACACAUUCAGACAUUUGCUGUCGGGCCACGGGCCAUGCUGAUGGAGAAAAGGAAACCACCCCAGGAGGUCUGAGAGAAAUGAGGAAAGGAGGCGUCCAUCUCCAGCCCCAUUCAGACACGCUCCUGGGAGAGAACAGCUCACAUUUGGCUCACGCUUCUCAUAUGCCGAGCGCUCUGCUGUGUUACCUCAGUGACUUUCACUGACUCCCAAGGAAGUGAUGGGGAUGGGGAAACUGGAAUUCAAACCCAUUUCCAACUCCCUCCGGAUCUCGAGAGAUUAACCACAGACACAACUUUUCCUGAACACAGAACAAGAAGGCAAAAGGAAGCAGAGGUCCCUGUUUUCAGGAGAGGACAGGAGAAAGGUGCCAGUACCCUGGCCUUUGGUUAUAUUUCCCUUUCCCUCUUCAGUAACACAUUUCUUGGCAGGACAUCUUUUCUGGAAAACCAGACUUGAGCUUGGAGUGGCUCAACAGCCCUUGCUGUAGCUAGGUUUGAUGGAGAAGCUGAGAGAGCUGCCUGCACCCGGGUAGGAGGCUCUGUCAUGGAGGGGCUCAGGCCAUUGCAGGUUUAGGGCCUAAAUGUUGUGCAAAUAUUUGCCCAACAACUCCCAGUGUGCCUUGGAACAAGCAGCAGGAGCGGCCCUGGCUGAGUCCCUGAAGAGAAACGUGGAUGUGAUGACUUUGAAUGGCUCCCAGCUUCUACUUCCUCAUAAUUUGCCAGGAUCUCUGUCGCCAACGAGCCUGGUUACAAGGAGAGGGGGCUCCGUGCUAGCCUGCUAGGCAUGAUGGAAUCUUCCGCAUUCUCCAGAUGAAGCCCGCACACCCAUGCCUUCAUCAAGCAGCAGGCACUGCCAAUGCGUUUUUGAGCUACAGAUUUGUAUUCCCAGCAAUCUGUGAGAUUCUCCCCCUAGAUCCUCGCAAAGCUUCUGAAUUUAUCGAGUUCAAAACAGAACACCCAAA